UGCCCAAGAGAUCGGGAUAACACCUGGAAACAGAUGCUAAUACCGGAUAACAACAGAUGAUGCCUAUCAACUGUUUAAAAGAUGGUUCUGCUAUCACUCUUGGAUGGACCUGCGGUGCAUUAGCUAGUUGGUAGGGUAACGGCCUACCAAGGCGAUGAUGCAUAGCCGAGUUGAGAUACUGAUCGGCCACAUUGGGACUGAGACACGGCUCAAACUCCUACGGGAGGCAGCAGCG
rnacentral:rRNA from 1 species